rnacentral:tRNA from 3 species
GGGGCGGAUGUAGCCAAGUGGAUCAAGGCAGUGGAUU